GCCAGGUUGGCAGACGAGUACCAAGAUGCCAGAAGGGCACAGCGGGCACAGUCACGGCCCACCUCGGGAGCUGCUACCACGCCUCCCACUGUUACCUCCACCCCAUCACUGCGUCCGGGUGGUGGGAACUACCAAACCCCUCCACGGUACAACAAUGCCCGAUCUUUCAUCAGGUGCCACACGUGUAACCAGCAGGGUCACAUGCAGAGAGACUGCCCCAGGAACAAAAACCGCUCCACGUGGAAUACCCCAACCAAUUCCCCUGCAAACCGAGC